rnacentral:rRNA from 1 species
AUGAGGCAUACUUUGAUGCACAAGUCAGGUGAUGGGAGGAUGGUUCGAGGUCACUCCGUUAAUAUGUUGCAUCCUAUUGAUCAACAUGAGAAGUUCAAAGUCAUGGAUCUCAUUGUGGAAACAAUCAAUAGGACAGUUGCUGAUCAGAAAAGGUAUUGUGGGUUUGCCCCUCAUAUUCAGAUUCUUAUCAACUCCAAGGGUGCAAACAAGAAAUUUCCAUUGGAUCAUGAGCGUUUGCCACUUCGGCCAGAGCUUGAGGACAACACUGUUACGAUAGAUCCAUCCCAUCCUACCUCAGUCGCAGCUCGGGCAAGUGCAGAGGCUGCAAGGGCUUCAGCACCUAGUGCUUCCUCAGCUCCAUUACUCAAGAUCGAUCAAAUGCAAUAUCUCAUUCAAGCUACUCAGAGGAUCGAGCGAAGUCUGGCCAACCUCGCAGAGAACCAGAAGAGUCUUGAGAGGAUUGUAGAGACUAAAUUUCAUGACUGGAUAUCAAGGUGA